GUGSCUAAUACAUGCAAGUCGAGCGGACUGAUGGGRGCUUGCUCCCUGAAGUCAGCGGCGGACGGGUGAAUAACACGUGGGUAACCUGCCUGUAAGACUGGGAUAACUCCGGGAAACCGGGGCUAAUACCGGAUAGUUCUUUUCCUCGCAUGAGGAAAAGUGGAAAGGCGGCUUCCGUUGCCACUUACAGAUGGACCCGCGGCGCAUUAGCUAGUUGGUGAGGUAACGGCUCACCAAGGCAACGAUGCGUAGCCGACCUGAGAGGGUGAUCGGCCACACUGGGACUGAGACACGGCCCAGACUCCUACGGGAGGCAGCAGUAGGGAAUCUUCCGCAAUGGACGAAAGUCUGACGGACCAACGCCGCGUGAGUGAUGAAGGUUUUCGGAUCGUAAAGCUCUGUUGUUAGGGAAGAACAAGUGCCGUUCGAAUAGGGCGGCCCCUUGACGGUACCUAACCAGAAAGCCACGGCUAACUACGUGCCAGCAGCCGCGGUAAUAC
rnacentral:rRNA from 1 species